rnacentral:rRNA from 1 species
UACGUAGGCAGCAAGCGUUGUUCGGAGUUACUGGGCGUAAAGGGUGUGUAGGCGGUUGUUUAAGUUUGGUGUGAAAUCUCCCGGCUCAACUGGGAGGGUGCGCCGAAUACUGAAUGACUUCGAGUGCGGGAGAGGAGAGUGGAAUUCCUGGUGUAGCGGUGAAAUGCGUAGAUAUCAGGAGGAACACCGGUGGUGUAGACGGCUCUCUGGACAGUGACUGACGCUGAGACGCGAAAGCGUGGGGAGCAAACAGG